UCGAGAAUUUUUCUCAAUGGGGGAAACCCUGAAGGAGCGACGCCGCGUGGAGGAUGAAGGUCUUCGGAUUGUAAACUCCUGUCAUUGGGGAACAACUGUCGCACGUUAACUGCGUGGGGCUUGAUAGUACCCGAAGAGGAAGAGACGGCUAACUCUGUGCCAGCAGCCGCGGUAAUACAGAGGUCUCAAGCGUUGUUCGGAUUCAUUGGGCGUAAAGGGUGCGUAGGCGGCGCCGUAAGUCAGGUGUGAAAUCUCGGGGCUCAACCCCGAAACUGCACUUGAUACUGCGGUGCUUGAGGACUCGAGAGGAGAUUGGAAUUCACGGUGUAGCAGUGAAAUGCGUAGAUAUCGUGAGGAAGACCAGUGGCGAAGGCGGAUCUCUGGAGAGUUCCUGACGCUGAGGCACGAAGGCCAGGGGAGCAAACGG
rnacentral:rRNA from 1 species